rnacentral:rRNA from 1 species
GUGCAGCAGUCGCGAAAACUUCACACUGUGCGAAAGCACGAUGAGGGAAUCCCAAGUGCUUGCACGUAAGUGUAAGCUGUUUCUCUGUUUAAAACGCAGAGAGAGUAAGGGCUGGGUAAGACGGGUGCCAGCCGCCGCGGUAAUACCUGCAGCUCAAGUGGUGACCGUUAUUAUUGGGCCUAAAACGUCCGUAGCCGGUUUAAUAAAUGCCUGGGUAAAUCGUGUAGCUUAACUAUACGAAUUCCGGGCAGACUGUUAAACUCGAGACCGGGAGAAGUUAGAGGUACUCCUGGGGUAGAGGUGAAAUUCUGUAAUCCUAGGGGGACCACCAGUGGCGAAGGCGUCUAACUAGAACGGGUCUGACGGUGAGGGACGAAGCCCUGGGGCGCAAACGGGAUUAGAUACCCCGGUAGU